rnacentral:rRNA from 1 species
UAACGAAGGGGGCUAGCGUUGCUCGGAAUCACUGGGCGUAAAGGGCGCGUAGGCGGCCGAUUAAGUCGGGGGUGAAAGCCUGUGGCUCAACCACAGAAUUGCCUUCGAUACUGGUUGGCUUGAGACCGGAAGAGGACAGCGGAACUGCGAGUGUAGAGGUGAAAUUCGUAGAUAUUCGGAAGAACACCAGUGGCGAAGGCGGCUCACUGGUCCGGUACUGACGCUGAGGUGCGGAAAGCGUGGGGAGCAACAGG